UACGGAGGGUGUGAGCGUUGUUCGGAAUCACUGGGCGUAAAGCGCGUGUAGGCGGCCUUCUAAGUCUGGUGUGAAAGCCCGGGGCUCAACCCCGGAAGUGCAUUGGAUACUGGGAGGCUGGAGUACCGAAGAGGAGGGUGGAAUUCCUGGUGUAGCGGUGAAAUGCGUAGAUAUCAGGAGGAACACCGGUGGCGAAGGCGGCCCUCUGGUCGGAUGCUGACGCUGAGACGCGAAAGCGUGGGGAGCAAACAGG
rnacentral:rRNA from 1 species